CGGGUGAGUAACGCGUGGGUAACCUGCCUUGUACAGGGGGAUAACAGUUGGAAACGGCUGCUAAUACCGCAUAAGCGCACGGCAUCGCAUGAUGCAGUGCGAAAAACUCCGGUGGUAUAAGAUGGACCCGCGUUGGAUUAGCUAGUUGGUGAGGUAACGGCCCACCAAGGCGACGAUCCAUAGCCGACCUGAGAGGGUGACCGGCCACAUUGGGACUGAGACACGGCCCAA
rnacentral:rRNA from 1 species